AGGGACUAGGGUUUUUUGUGAGUGACCUUUGAGAUUACACGAAUUCAAUUCUUCUCCUCUUCACAAGAAUAAAGGCGCGGCGGCGACUUCAUCUCUUCUCCGAUCACUGCGACGGCGACGCUCUUAUCAAGCUCUCUUCUCCGGUCUCGAGGUCUUUCUCGAUCUCUUUCUCCUUCUCGUUGCAUUUGAUGAUGAUGACGGACAUUGUCGCGAAGUCACUGAAGUUGUGAGCGCGUUGAUGAUGAUGAACACUGUGCGGUGCGAUGAUGGCGAUGCUGAUGUUGUUCUUGCCGAUGUUGUGGCGUGGUGACGAUUGAGGACGACGAAGAACAAUGACAGACGAUUCAAUGGAGAGUAUCUGAAGCUCUUGAAUCAAGAGGGGAUGAAGAUUGUCAAUGGGAGAGUUGAGAUUGUGGAUUGAGGGUGAUGAAGUGAUGGCCAAAGAAGACGAAUUGGAGGAUGAAGGUUUGAAGAUGAUGAAGGUGAGGAGCAGUGUUGAAGGUUCGAAAAUGAAUGGAAGUGUAUGUGAAUCGAGAGAGGUGAAGAAGGUGGUUCAGGAAGAGAAAGAAAAAAUGGUUGAAGUGGUGGAGGAGGCUUGAAUGAAGGUGGAGAAGCCUGUUAUAUAGAUCUUCUCAGGUCUGCUUCAUUCUCCUGAACAAGAGAUGAUGGAUUAAAGUUUGAAGAAAGAUACUCAUGAUGAAGUUUAGGAUUAAGAACACGAUAGCUUGCAAUGUGGUGUAGAUUUAACCGAAUCUUGUAACGGAUUGAAUUUGGUCUUGUAAUGAAAUUGGUAAUGGUGCAAUUGGAUUUAUAUCUUGUAAUGGAAUUGUAUUUUUGAUGAAUUGUAGAAUUCUUUUUUCUUUUUCUUCAUAUGGAAAUCCGACACAAAUGCUUGAGAA